rnacentral:rRNA from 1 species
CAGUCGCCACGGUAAUACGAAGGGUGCAAGCGUUAAUCGGAAUUACUGGGCGUAAAGCGCGCGUAGGCGGUUACUCAAGUCAGAGGUGAAAGCCCGGGGCUCAACCCCGGAACUGCCUUUGAAACUAGGUGACUAGAAUCUUGGAGAGGUCAGUGGAAUUCCGAGUGUAGAGGUGAAAUUCGUAGAUAUUCGGAAGAACACCAGUGGCGAAGGCGACUGACUGGACAAGUAUUGACGCUGAGGUGCGAAAGCGUGGGGAGCAAACAGGAUUAGAUACCCGGGUAGUCCCUGUCUCUUAUAC